rnacentral:rRNA from 1 species
AGGAGACUGCCGGUGUUAAACCCGGAGGAAGGUGGGGAUGACGUCAAGUCCUCAUGGCCCUUAUGUCCAGGGCUACACACGUGCUACAAUGGCCGGUACAAAGGGCUGCAAUACCGCAAGGUGGAGCGAACCCCAAAAAGCCGGUCUCAGUUCGGAUUGGAGUCUGCAACUCGACUCCAUGAAGUUGGAAUCGCUAGUAAUCGCGGAUCAGCACGCCGCGGUGAAUACGUUCCCGGGCCUU